rnacentral:rRNA from 1 species
AUGAAGCGAGUGGCGAACUGGUGAGUAACACGUGGGNAAUCUGCCCAGAAGCAGGGGAUAACACUUGGAAACAGGUGCUAAUACCGUAUAACAACAAAAUCCGCAUGGAUUUUGUUUGAAAGGUGGCUUCGGCUAUCACUUCUGGAUGAUCCCGCGGCGUAUUAGUUAGUUGGUGAGGUAAAGGCCCACCAAGACGAUGAUACGUAGCCGACCUGAGAGGGUAAUCGGCCACAUUGGGACUGAGACACGGCCCAAACUCCUACGGGAGGCAGCAGUAGGGAAUCUUCCACAAUGGACGAAAGUCUGAUGGAGCAAUGCCGCGUGAGUGAAGAAGGGUUUCGGCUCGUAAAACUCUGUUGUUAAAGAAGAACACCUUUGAGAGUAACUGUUCAAGGGUUGACGGUAUUUAACCAGAAAGCCACGGCUAACUACGUGCCAGCAGCCGCGGUAAUACGUAGGUGGCAAGCGUUGUCCGGAUUUAUUGGGCGUAAAGCGAGCGCAGGCGGUUUUUUAAGUCUGAUGUGAAAGCCUUCGGCUUAACCGGAGAAGUGCAUCGNAAACUGGGAGACUUGAGUGCAGAAGAGGACAGUGGAACUCCAUGUGUAGCGGUGGAAUGCGUAGAUAUAUGGAAGAACACCAGUGGCGAAGGCGGCUGUCUAGUCUGUAACUGACGCUGAGGCUCGAAAGCAUGGGUAGCGAACAGGAUUAGAUACCCUGGUAGUCCAUGCCGUAAACGAUGAGUGCUAAGUGUUGGAGGGUUUCCGCCCUUCAGUGCUGCAGCUAACGCAUUAAGCACUCCGCCUGG